rnacentral:rRNA from 1 species
GCCAGCAGCCAUAUCACUGCAACUCACAACCGGCAAUCCACUGAAGCUAAGCAGGUGUGAACCUGGUCAGUACCUGGAUGGGAAACCUCCUGGGAAAAACUAAGGUUGCUGCUGGAA